UGUGUGUGUGUGUGUAUCUAGGUUUCCAUUUUAAAGACAUUUUAUUGUUUUGUUUCGGCUGGUCAAUAUAUUCUAAUUUAGUUGACAAAAAUCAAUACUUAAAUGUUUUCUUUAGAUUAGACUAUUCCAGUUUUGGGCUGGUCAGUUUAAUGGUUUGUCAGUCUAUUGUAGUCAAUCUGUUGGGCCGUUCAAUGUAAUGGGCUGGUCACUGUAUAAGGCUGGUCAAUCUUGUAGGUCAGUCCGGCUAUUGAGCCGAUUGGCGGCUAGCCUUCCCCUACCCCAUCCCUAUUAAUCCAUGCAGUCAUCCUAAGCCUAAGUGGGGUCCACUCCGACGUUUGCCAGGGAGAUUUUUUUUUCAGGAUGACCCCUUUUUUCAUUGGGGAUCAUUCACCAACUAACUUGCUUUUUUUUUUCAAAUUGAUAUUGUCUUUAUGUCACUUAUCCAAAAGCCACCCAGGUUUUCAACUAUCCCUUAGUCUGUUAAACCAUAGUGCCACCACACAAGAUCUGUUGACCAUCUCUCUCCAUUUCUCUUGUUGCCGUGGAUAGAAUUUCUUUCAAUGACAGGCCUGUCCGUUCUUUUGUGUUGUCUUGAAGGUGAAAAAAAAAUGUUUUGACCUUCAUCCCGACAUCAACAGAUUAAUGUGAGUACUUUGAUCUUGAUAUGUAGAUUGUAAUACGCCACUUUUAAGCCUUUCCCCCCAAGACGCAAAGUAUGAAAGUUUGCAGGAUUCAGGACUGGCCUAAACACUGACUUUGUCAACACAGAAACAAAAGCUGCCACUUUCAACUUCGUCUUAUAGAGAGAGAAAGAGAGAGAGAAAGAGAGAGAGAGAGAGAGAAAGUGAGAGCGACAUGAGAGAGAAAGAGAAAGAGAGAGAAAGUGAGAGCGACAUGAGAGAGAAAGAGAGAGAGAGAGAGAGAGAAAGUGAGAGCGACAUGAGAGAGAAAGAGAGAGAGAGAAAGAGAAAGAGAGAAAGUGAGAGCGACAUGAGAGAGAAAGAGAGAGAGAGAGAGAAAGUGAGAGCGACAUGAGAGAGAAAGAGAGAGAGAAAGAGAAAGAGAGAGAAAGUGAGAGCGACAUGAGAGAGAGAAAGAGAGAUAGAACAAGAGAGAGAUAGAGAGAGAGAGAAAAAAGAUAGAUAGAAAAAGAGAGAGAUAGAAUUUGAGAGCGACAUGAUAGAGAGAAAGAGAGAGAGAGAGGAAUAAGUAGAAAGAGCUAGAUAGAAAGAGAGAAAUUGAGAGUGACGAGAGAGAAAGAAAGAGUGAGGGAGAGAGAAAGAGAUAGAUAGAAAGAGAGAGAGAGAGAUAGAGAGAGAGAAGCGAAAAAUAUAUAUUUCUCAACUAUCUCGUCGCCAGCCUAAAAAUUGAUCCAAAUGUUUUUGGUGCGCAUUGGAAUUUUCCGAUAAUUGGAAAGUCGCUCUUGGAUAUUUCGAGAUGUUUAGCAAAAAUAUAAGAAUAAAACAAAAAAUUACAAAUACAGAAAACUUCAUUUUUAACUUAACUUUAAGGCCAGAAGGUCGCACUUGAAGGUCGUGUCUGACUGGUUGCUUCCUGUAUCCAAAUCAAGCGUUUUUAUGUCUUUUCCAAUGGCAACUCAAGGUUAUGAUAGUCAACAACCAACGGCGCCACCGGCAUACCCGCCAGCGCCCUUGGCGUACCCUCCAGCGCCGAACUACUACCCGCACGGUCCACCCAACCUACAGAGAACGACGUACAUGGUACAGCAGCACCCCCCCGGCCAACCCCUGCCCCCAGGAACCUACCAGUACAUCCCUCCGAACCAGUAUCCCUACGGCCCGCCUCCGAAUCAGUACAGCCAGCAAGGGUCUUACUAUCCGAAUCAGUAUGGCCAGCCGGCACCCCAGUAUUACGCACCGGCGCCUACGGGCUACGGAGGCGCCCCCUAUCGGAACAGACAGGACGACACGAUGAAGAACAUCGGCAUUGGGGCCAUGCUGGCCUCCUUGCUCUGCUGCUGCUGCUUUGCAGACGACGUUCUGGAAAACGCGAUUGACUGCGACCAUUAGAUUCUAGAUCAGCGGCCAUGUUACUUUUGGUUUCACAUGUACGGAAAGUGUAUAACAACAAUUAAAAGCAAGGAUCUCGAAAUCUCUGGUUGAAACUUUCCUAUAGAUCUGGUGUAUUAGAUAUGGAAUAUAUUUUGUACCAUGAAAGACACAAAUCCACAUAGAUCUCACUUUAAAUUCAAUCACUUUUUUUUUU